rnacentral:lncRNA from 1 species
CUUGCUGUCAGGGCUAACUGAGCCCCCUCUGGUCACUGUGACCCUUCUUCUUCAGUGAAGUUUAGACAUCUAAAUUUUUUACAUUAAGGAGAGUGGGUGUUAGAUGCAUAAAUUCAUUCAAAAAUCUGGAUUUCCGCAAGCUUUGAAAUGGGGCCUUUGAAAUCAGAAUUCUACAGUUCCCCUGAGCCUAAACUGAACUUAAUACUAUGAACAGAAUUUCCCUAAAGCAGGUCCAAGUGACUUAAAGACUUGUCUUCUUUGCUUCCCACCUCUAUUCCCAAGCUCUUGUACUUGAGCACAUCUCAGAUCCUUACUCUCUCCUAUGACAUACUUGAUAUAACGGGAAUCAGUAACAGCAGAGAAAGUAAAUCUCCUACAGGAUCUUGUACUUCAGAAGCUUCACCUCUUUCCUUUUCUUUGCCUUUCUUAGUCUUGUGUGCACUUCUGUACAAUUAUGCUAAUGAACUAAAGACGAUUAUUACAAUAAGGGAACAAACACGAGAGAAGAGGCAGGCAGAAACCUUUCCAGCUGUUACAGUAAUUUAUUUUUUUUAACUGAAAUCCCAGAAAAAAUAAUUGUAAGAAUUUUUAUGUUUGGAUGCUAUAGUCAUAAAACAGCAAAGAGUGAAAAGCCAGCAUUAAUUUCUACAGCUGUCUUGAGAAUGGAGUGCCAGAAGAUACACAGUUCUCUUUCCACAGAGGGUAACAAAAAAGCUGAGGCCAACCCUGGGGCAAAGGCAGCACAGAACCUCACCAACAAAACCACCAGGCCAAAGCAGGAGCAGAGGCAGCCUGGUGGCAGCCAUGGACUCCACUGUCAUCAACAGACAAACCAGGGGACACAGCAAGUUCAAGGCACAUGUGGGAAUCCAGUAAACAAGUCUGGCCAAGCAGGGGAGAAGACCAGCCACAGUCCCUCCUGGACCAUAGCCUUGACCUUAAAAACUGAGGCUCCUGGAUCCUUAGGCAAGGAGUAUGGGUUGAAAUCUCAGGCUCACCAGCCACCCCUGCAGCACUCCCAGCACUUCUCAGCUUGGCACAGCCACAGACACUGGGAGCAAUGUGUGUCCUCAGCUACCAGACCAAGAAAAUUGUGUGUCCUUGUCUCAGGCAAGACAACCGCUGAAGAGGCAGAACAGACAUCUAGGAGAGAAGAUGUAGCAUCUCUACUAUCCAGUCUUAAUCCUCUAUCUCAUCUCUGCCAGAGCUACAUGGGAACAGCUGCAAUGCAUUUCAGAAGUUCCUGGUGCUCUCAGUGCUUGCAGUCACUCUCUUGAAGCACCUUCUACCCACACACAGCAGCCUGCAGAGCAGAUGGAAUAUGUGCACCCACUUCAGACACUGCAGCAUGAAAUCUGGCAACUCAGAGCAAGACACAUCUCAAGCUGCUA